rnacentral:tRNA from 1 species
AUCUUUUUAAUAUAACGAGUAUAUUUGGCUUCCAACCAGAAAGUCUAGAAAUAUCUAGAAAAGAUA